rnacentral:rRNA from 1 species
CCUUUACUGACGCUAAAGCUCGAAGGUGCGGGUAUCGAACAGGAUUAGAUACCCUGGUAGUCCGCACGGUAAACGAUGGAUGCCCGCUGUUUGCGAUAUAGUGUGAGCGGCCAAGAGAAAUCGUUAAGCAUCCCACCUGGGGAGUACGCCGGCAACGGUGAAACUCAAAGGAAUUGACGGGGGCCCGCACAAGCGGAGGAACAUGUGGUUUAAUUCGAUGAUACGCGAGGAACCUUACCCGGGCUUGAACUGCAGCGGAAGGAUACAGAGAUGUUGACGCCCUUCGGGGCCGCUGUGGAGGUGCUGCAUGGUUGUCGUCAGCUCGUGCCGUGAGGUGUCGGCUUAAGUGCCAUAACGAGCGCAACCCUUUUCGUCAGUUGCCAUCAGGUGAUGCUGGGCACUCUGGCGACACUGCCACCGUAAGGUGUGAGGAAGGUGGGGAUGACGUCAAAUCAGCACGGCCCUUACGUCCGGGGCUACACACGUGUUACAAUGGGGCAUACAGAAGGCCGGUCGCCCGCAAGAGCGGUCAAAUCUUAAAAGUGUCCCUCAGUUCGGAUUGGGGUCUGCAACCCGACCCCAUGAAGCUGGAUUCGCUAG